GCCCCGUUCGUCUAGUGGCCUAGGACGCCGGCCUCUCACGCCGGUAACAGGGGUUCGACUCCCCUACGGGGCGCCA
rnacentral:tRNA from 1 species